rnacentral:lncRNA from 1 species
ACCACUCAUCUAUAUUAGUAAGACAUAAUUAGUACUCUUUUAUAAAGAAAACCAACAAAAGUAAUUCUUAACAUAAUCAAUGCGAAAUUAAAGUAGGCAUACCUGGACGGGCAGUUUUGUGAGUAUUUUGAGCAAAUUCAAAUCCAAAACUUUGAUCCGUUGAUCUAAACAUUGAUAUUUCAUUCAUCAUAUAUUGAAGUCCAUCCAUUUUUAACUUUUGCAUGACUUCUAAAACACUUUUCAUAAUUUCAGGCAUGUGACAAGGGCUAUCCUUAUCAUAUUGGAAGGCCGGAUUCAAUCAAAAGGCAGCCGCAUGUAGAUCUUUUUUCAACAUAUUAUCUCACCUCCUAUCAAUUAUAUCAAUGUAUGGGCCGUAGAACUUUUUCUUGUUCUUAAACAGUUCUUUAAUGCCAUUAACAACUCUCCAUAUGCCUUCAUAUACAUAACCCAAUGAUGGUUUUUCAUCAGAAUCACAGAUGCGCAACAAGCGCAUAAUUGGACCCAUAAUUCUCACAAUAAUCAAACAAUUAUUCCAAAACUUCCCAUCAACAACAAUUUGUUUGACUUCUUUA